rnacentral:rRNA from 1 species
UACAGAGGUCUCAAGCGUUGUUCGGAUUCAUUGGGCGUAAAGGGUGCGUAGGCGGCGCGGUAAGUCGGGUGUGAAAUUUCGAGGCUUAACUUCGAAACUGCAUUCGAUACUGCCGUGCUUGAGGACUGGAGAGGAGACUGGAAUUUACGGUGUAGCGGUGAAAUGCGUAGAUAUCGUAAGGAACACCCGUGGCGAAGGCGGCCCCCUGGGCCGUACCUGACGCUG